rfam:Dipodomys ordii contig_4072, whole genome shotgun sequence.
GGGAAGGUGGCUCAGUGGUAGAGUGCUUGCCUUGCAUGCAUGAGGCCCUGGGUUCGAUUCCUCAGCUCCA